CCACUUUGCUUCCUCUGCUGAAAUGAUCAAUAGCUGCCUUUAAGAAGGAUGAUCUGAGAGUCUGCAUGACAGACAGAGUCUUCCUCCCCAGGAUAAAGAGAAGGGCCAAGCUCUGAGCUGCAGAGCUGGAACAGCUCAAGUGACUUAAUGUCAGACAGGAACUGUCUCAGAGGGGAAGAACUGCAAACCUCCACUGCUUUGGAGAGGCUGAAAGUCCAAGGGCUGAGAUGAGAGGGCACCUGCACAGACCAUAAAGAAGAGUUCUCCAAAGGAAGAUGACCCCUUAGAAGGGAUAUUCCUGGGGGAAGUUGGAUGACAGCAGUACUGGAUACUCCUGGGGAACCUCAGAGGUGCAAAGGCAAAAGCCAAGGAGGCUUUAGCUCUACCCAUGAAAAAAUUGAGGGUUUAAAGUGAGGAAUCUCCUGCAGUUUUGUGUUAUUCUGUUUCAGAGGGAAAACGAAGAGCAGACUCCUGCUAGUACUUCAUACAACCUGCCUCAGAAAAUUUUAAGGCCAGGCUAGAAGCAGGCCUAAAAUCCCAUGGGACUCAGAAUCACAGCACAUCAGGAGGAAAUCAAUGGACAUGUAACAUUUUAUACUGAAAACCUAGAGUAAAUCAAGAAGAAACAACAAAAAAAAACGGGCACCAUGGAAACUGCUUUCUUUCACCACCCCUCAACAAGAACAACUUUUUACUGCAUGUGCUUUUAUAGGAAACAUCUUCCAACCAGGAAGAUCUUAAAAGCCAAAGAAUGGUACUUUAUCUUUCAAGAGCAGCAAGUUAGUUUUCCCAAGACCAUCAGCAAAUUUGUCCUAAAAGAAAAGGAGCAAAUUUAAAGUAAUUCUCGU